UACGUAGGGUGCGAGCGUUAAUCGGAAUUACUGGGCGUAAAGGGUGCGCAGGCGGUUCUGCAAGUCAGGCGUGAAAGCCCCGGGCUUAACCUGGGAAUGGCGCUUGAAACUACAGGACUGGAGUAUGGCAGAGGGAGGUGGAAUUCCACGUGUAGCGGUGAAAUGCGUAGAGAUCCGGAAGAACACCGGUGGCGAAGGCGGCCUGCUGGGCAGUUUUGCUGACACUGAGGCGCGACAGCGUGGGGAGCAAACAGG
rnacentral:rRNA from 1 species